UUCGUAUAAUCACAUUAUCAGCCUUUACUUUAUUUUAUUAUUUGGUCUUUUUUAUUAAGCCAUAAGAUUCCUUAAGAAUCAGAUUUAUUUACACUAGAUGUCAAUUACCUUCUCAUUAUAAAUUUAGAAAAUAUUACAGAAAUAGAAACAAAUU
rnacentral:lncRNA from 1 species